rnacentral:rRNA from 1 species
ACGGAGGGUGCAAGCGUUAUCCGGAUUUACUGGGUUUAAAGGGUGCGUAGGUGGGUCUGUAAGUCAGUGGUGAAAUCUUCAAGCUUAACUUGGAAACUGCCAUUGAUACUAUAGGUCUUGAAUUAUCUGGAGGCGAGCGGAAUAUGUCAUGUAGCGGUGAAAUGCUUAGAUAUGACAUAGAACACCAAUUGCGAAGGCAGCUCACUACGGAUUUAUUGACACUGAGGCACGAAAGCGUGGGGAUCAAACAGGAUUAGAUACCCUGGUAGUCCACGCCCUAAACGAUGGAUACUCGACAUACGCGAUAUACUGUGUGUGUCUGAGCGAAAGCAUUAAGUAUCCCACCUGGGAAGUACGAUCGCAAGAUUG